CGAGUCUUAACCGGGCGUUAAGUUGCAGGGUAUAGACCCGAAACCCGGUGAUCUAGCCAUGGGCAGGUUGAAGGUUGGGUAACACUAACUGGAGGACCGAACCGACUAAUGUUGAAAAAUUAGCGGAUGACCUGUGGCUGGGGGUGAAAGGCCAAUCAAACCGGGAGAUAGCUGGUUCUCCCCGAAAGCUAUUUAGGUAGCGCCUCGUGAAUUCAUCUCCGGGGGUAGAGCACUGUUUCGGCUAGGGGGCCAUCCCGGCUUACCAACCCGAUGCAAACUGCGAAUACCGGAGAAUGUUAUCACGGGAGACACACGGCGGGUGCUAACGUCCGUCGUGAAGAGGGAAACAACCCAGACCGCCAGCUAAGGUCCCAAAGUCAUGGUUAAGUGGGAAACGAUGUGGGAAGGCCCAGACAGCCAGGAUGUUGGCUUAGAAGCAGCCAUCAUUUAAAGAAAGCGUAAUAGCUCACUGGUCGAGUCGGCCUGCGCGGAAGAUGUAACGGGGCUAAACCAUGCACCGAAGCUGCGGCAGCGAACGUAUCACUUAAAGCGAUUCAGCGGGUUACGAUUGACGGAGCGAAGCGACGUCAAAGCGUAUACAAAGUCGAGUCGGUUUAAGGAUACGUUCGUUGGGUAGGGGAGCGUUCUGUAAGCCUGUGAAGGUGUGUCGUGAGGCAUGCUGGAGGUAUCAGAAGUGCGAAUGCUGACAUAAGUAACGAUAAAGCGGGUGAAAAGCCCGCUCGCCGGAAGACCAAGGGUUCCUGUCCAACGUUAAUCGGGGCAGGGUGAGUCGACCCCUAAGGCGAGGCCGAAAGGCGUAGUCGAUGGGAAACGGGUUAAUAUUCCCGUACUUGGUGUUACUGCGAAGGGGGGACGGAGAAGGCUAUGUUGGCCGGGCGACGGUUGUCCCGGUUUAAGCGUGUAGGUGUGUGUUCCAGGUAAAUCCGGUUCACUUUAACACUGAGGCGUGAUGACGAGGCACUACGGUGCUGAAGCAACAAAUGCCCUGCUUCCAGGAAAAGCCUCUAAGCAUCAGGUAACAUCAAAUCGUACCCCAAACCGACACAGGUGGUCAGGUAGAGAAUACCAAGGCGCUUGAGAGAACUCGGGUGAAGGAACUAGGCAAAAUGGUGCCGUAACUUCGGGAGAAGGCACGCUGACACGUAGGUGAAGUGAUUUACUCAUGGAGCUGAAGUCAGUCGAAGAUACCAGCUGGCUGCAACUGUUUAUUAAAAACACAGCACUGUGCAAACACGAAAGUGGACGUAUACGGUGUGACGCCUGCCCGGUGCCGGAAGGUUAAUUGAUGGGGUCAGCGCAAGCGAAGCUCCUGAUCGAAGCCCCGGUAAACGGCGGCCGUAACUAUAACGGUCCUAAGGUAGCGAAAUUCCUUGUCGGGUAAGUUCCGACCUGCACGAAUGGCGUAAUGAUGGCCAGGCUGUCUCCACCCGAGACUCAGUGAAAUUGAACUCGCUGUGAAGAUGCAGUGUACCCGCGGCAAGACGGAAAGACCCCGUGAACCUUUACUAUAGCUUGACACUGAACAUUGAGCCUUGAUGUGUAGGAUAGGUGGGAGGCUUUGAAGCGUGGACGCCAGUCUGCGUGGAGCCGACCUUGAAAUACCACCCUUUAAUGUUUGAUGUUCUAACGUGGACCCGUAAUCCGGGUUGCGGACAGUGUCUGGUGGGUAGUUUGACUGGGGCGGUCUCCUCCUAAAGAGUAACGGAGGAGCACGAAGGUUGGCUAAUCCUGGUCGGACAUCAGGAGGUUAGUGCAAUGGCAUAAGCCAGCUUGACUGCGAGCGUGACGGCGCGAGCAGGUGCGAAAGCAGGUCAUAGUGAUCCGGUGGUUCUGAAUGGAAGGGCCAUCGCUCAACGGAUAAAAGGUACUCCGGGGAUAACAGGCUGAUACCGCCCAAGAGUUCAUAUCGACGGCGGUGUUUGGCACCUCGAUGUCGGCUCAUCACAUCCUGGGGCUGAAGUAGGUCCCAAGGGUAUGGCUGUUCGCCAUUUAAAGUGGUACGCGAGCUGGGUUUAGAACGUCGUGAGACAGUUCGGUCCCUAUCUGCCGUGGGCGCUGGAGAACUGAGGGGGGCUGCUCCUAGUACGAGAGGACCGGAGUGGACGCAUCACUGGUGUUCGGGUUGUCAUGCCAAUGGCACUGCCCGGUAGCUAAAUGCGGAAGAGAUAAGUGCUGAAAGCAUCUAAGCACGAAACUUGCCCCGGGAUGAGUUCUCCC
rnacentral:rRNA from 1 species